rnacentral:rRNA from 1 species
UAAAACGUAGGAGCCAAGCGUUAUCCGAAUUCACUGGGCGUAAAGCGCGUGCAGGCGGCAUGAUAAGUUGGAUGUGAAAUCUCCUGGCUCAACUGGGAGGGGACGUUCAAUACUGUCAAGCUAGAGGACGGCAGAGGGAGGUGGAAUUCCCGGUGUAGUGGUGAAAUGCGUAGAUAUCGGGAGGAACACCAGUGGCGAAAGCGGCCUUCUGGGCCGAUCCUGACGCUCAGACGCGAAAGCUAGGGGAGCGAACGGG